rnacentral:piRNA from 1 species
UGGGAAAAAUUUGGCCGAAAAGAGUG